GACAGAGGGUGCAAACGUUGUUCGGAAUUACUGGGCGUAAAGCGAGUGUAGGCGGUUUGGUAAGUCGGAUGUGAAAGCCCCGGGCUCAACCCGGGAAGUGCACUCGAUACUGCCAAGCUAGAGUAUCGGAGAGGUUGGUGGAAUUCUCGGUGUAGAGGUGAAAUUCGUAGAUAUCGAGAGGAAUACCGGUGGCGAAGGCGGCCAACUGGACGAAAUACUGACGCUGAGACACGAAAGCGUGGGGAGCAAACAGG
rnacentral:rRNA from 1 species